GGAACGAGGGAGCAGAAGUGGCCAUCUACAUCUACCGGUGUAACAGUUGGAGAAUAAAAAUAAAACUACAGACUGGGCCGAGAAGGAGACAUAGAUAUGGGUUCUCCUGUCUGCUUCUGCAUUCCCUCUGUCCCAGUACGCUGCGCUGGUUGAAGCCGAUGAAGAAAAUUCCGCCUCUCACAGAUGUGUAGUUGAGAAAAGGAGGCACUGAAUAGCCUUUUCGGGUAAUUGCGGACAUUCUGCUGUGAUACGACAGCAGCGCUCCAGCUGGUCGUUUCCUAAAGGUAAAAAUUAUGUACAAUGAAAGAAAAGCAAUUAGCUGAGUUUGCAACUCAAACAAUGGCACGCGUGCUUCUCUUUGUGACCACUGCUGUAUUGACGUAUGUAAUAGCAGUGUUCCAUGCAUUUUUCCCAUCUCGUCACACAGAAUAUUAAAAAGAUGUGUACUC